AGUUGCAGUAAGCUAUAUCGCCAUUUAGAAAUUAGCAAAAGGACUAAACCCAGUUGCUAAGCAAUGUCGCCCUUCAGAAAUUAGCAAAUGGACCAAAAUCAGUUGCUAAACUAUGUCGCCAUUUAGAAAUUAGCAAGGGGACCAAACGCAGUUGCUAAGCUAUGUCGCCAUUCAGACAUUAGCAAAAGGACCAAACCCAGUUGCUAAGCAAUGUCGCCAUUCAGACAUUAGCAAAGGGACCAAACCCAGUUGCUAAGCUAUGCCGCCAUUCGGAGAUUAGCAAAGGGAGCAAACCCGGUUGCUAAGCUAUGCCACCAUUAAGAAAUUAGCAAAGUGAUUAAAUCCAGUUGCUAAGCAGCGUCGCAUUUUGGAAAUUAGCAAAGGGACCAGACCCAUUUGCUAAACUAUGUCGCCCUUUAGAAAUUAGCAAGGGGACCAAACCCGCUAAGCUAUGUCGCCAUUCAGAAAUUAGCAAAAGGACCAAACCCAGUUGCUAAGCUAUGCCACCAUUAAGAAAUUAGCAAAGUGAUUAAACCCAGUUGCUAAGCAGCGCCGCAUUUUGGAAAUUAGCAAAGGGACCAGACCAAUUGCUAAGCUAUGCCGCCAUUUAGAAAUUAGCAAAGUGACUAAACCCAGUUGCUAAGCAGCAUCGUCAAUUAGAAAUUAGCAAAGGGACCAAACCCAAUUGCUAAGCUAUGCUGCAUUUAGAAAUUAGCAAAGGGACCAAACCCAAUUGCUAAGCUAUGCCGCCAUUUUGAAAUUAGCAAAGUGAGUAAACCCAGUUGCUAAGCUAUGUCGCAAUUUAGAAAUUAGCAAAGGGAUCAAGCCCGGUUGCUAAGCUAUAUCGCCAUUUAGAAAUUAGCAAAGGGACUAAACCCAGUUGCUAAGCAAUGU